rnacentral:rRNA from 1 species
GAUGAACGCUGGCGGCGUGCCUAAUACAUGCAAGUCGAGCGAACAGACGAGGAGCUUGCUCCUCUGACGUUAGCGGCGGACGGGUGAGUAACACGUGGAUAACCUACCUAUAAGACUGGGAUAACUUCGGGAAACCGGAGCUAAUACCGGAUAAUAUAUUGAACCGCUUGGUUCAAUAGUGAAAGACGGUUUUGCUGUCACUUAUAGAUGGAUCCGCGCCGCAUUAGCUAGUUGGUAAGGUAACGGCUUACCAAGGCAACGAUGCGUAGCCGACCUGAGAGGGUGAUCGGCCACACUGGAACUGAGACACGGUCCAGACUCCUACGGGAGGCAGCAGUAGGGAAUCUUCCGCAAUGGGCGAAAGCCUGACGGAGCAACGCCGCGUGAGUGAUGAAGGUCUUCGGAUCGUAAAACUCUGUUAUUAGGGAAGAACAAAUGUGUAAGUAACUAUGCACGUCUUGACGGUACCUAAUCAGAAAGCCACGGCUAACUACGUG